rnacentral:rRNA from 1 species
UACAGAGGGGGCCAGCGUUAUUCGGAAUUAUUGGGCGUAAAGGGCGCGUAGGCGGCCAUGCGUGUCUUCCGUGAAAUCCCUCGGCUUAACUGAGGACGUGCGGAAGAAAACUACAAGGGCUCGAGUCCGGGAGAGGGGGUGGAAUUCCCAGUGUAGCGGUGGAAAUGCGUAGAUAUUGGGAGGAACACCGGUGGCGAAGGCGGCCCCCUGGACCGGUACUGGACGCUGAG